rnacentral:rRNA from 1 species
GUGAGGAAUAUUGGUCAAUGGACGAGAGUCUGAACCAGCCAAGUAGCGUGAAGGAUGAAGGUCCUACGGAUUGUAAACUUCUUUUAUAAGGGAAUAAACCCUCCCACGUGUGGGAGCUUGUAUGUACCUUAUGAAUAAGCAUCGGCUAACUCCGUGCCAGCAGCCGCGGUAAUACGGAGGAUGCGAGCGUUAUCCGGAUUUAUUGGGUUUAAAGGGAGCGCAGACGGGUCGUUAAGUCAGCUGUGAAAGUUUGGGGCUCAACCUUAAAAUUGCAGUUGAUACUGGCGUCCUUGAGUGCGGUUGAGGUGUGCGGAAUUCGUGGUGUAGCGGUGAAAUGCUUAGAUAUCACGAAGAACUCCGAUUGCGAAGGCAGCACACUAAUCCGUAACUGACGUUCAUGCUCGAAAGUGUGGGUAUCAAACAGGAUUAGAUACCCUAGUAGUCC